AACGAACGCUGGCGGCAGGCUUAACACAUGCAAGUCGAACGCAUCCUUCGGGAUGAGUGGCAGACGGGUGAGUAACGCGUGGGAACGUGCCCUUUAGUUUGGAAUAACCCAGGGAAACUUGGGCUAAUACCGGAUACGCCCGAAAGGGAAGAUUAUCGCUGAAGGAGCGGCCCGCGUCUGAUUAGCUAGUUGGUGAGGUAAUGGCGUCACCAAGGCGACGAUCAGUAGCUGGUCNGAGAGGAUGAUCAGCCACACUGGGACUGAGACACGGCCCAGACUCCUACGGGAGGCAGCAGUGGGGAAUAUUGGACAAUGGGCGCAAGCCUGAUCCAGCCAUGCCGCGUGAGUGAUGAAGGCCUUAGGGUUGUAAAGCUCUUUCGGCGGGGACGG
rnacentral:rRNA from 1 species